AGCGAACGCUAGCGGCAGGCUUAACACAUGCAAGUCGAGCGGAGAGAGGUAGCUUGCUACUGAUCUUAGCGGCGGACGGGUGAGUAAUGCUUAGGAAUCUGCCUAUUAGUGGGGGACAACAUUUCGAAAGGAAUGCUAAUACCGCAUACGUCCUACGGGAGAAAGCAGGGGAUCUUCGGACCUUGCGCUAAUAGAUGAGCCUAAGUCGGAUUAGCUAGUUGGUGGGGUAAAGGCCUACCAAGGCGACGAUCUGUAGCGGGUCUGAGAGGAUGAUCCGCCACACUGGGACUGGGACACGGCCCAGACUCCUACGGGAGGCAGCAGUGGGGAAUAUUGGACAAUGGGCGCAAGCCUGAUCCAGCCAUGCCGCGUGUGUGAAGAAGGCCUUAUGGUUGUAAAGCACUUUAAGCGAGGAGGAGGCUACUUUAGUUAAUACCUAGAGAUAGUGGACGUUACUCGCAGAAUAAGCACCGGCUAACUCUGUGCCAGCCGCCGCCGUAAUAC
rnacentral:rRNA from 1 species